rnacentral:rRNA from 1 species
AGAAAUUCCAAUCGAACCUGGAGAUAGCUGGUUCUCUCCGAAAUAGCUUUAGGGCUAGCCUCAAGUGAUGAUUAUUGGAGGUAGAGCACUGUUUGGACGAGGGGCCCCUCUCGGGUUACCGAAUUCAGACAAACUCCGAAUGCCAAUUAAUUUAACUUGGGAGUCAGAACAUGGGUGAUAAGGUCCGUGUUCGAAAGGGAAACAGCCCAGACCACCAGCUAAGGUCCCAAAAUAUAUGUUAAGUGGAAAAGGAUGUGGCGUUGCCCAGACAACUAGGAUGUUGGCUUAGAAGCAGCCAUCAUUUAAAGAGUGCGUAAUAGCUCACUAGUCGAGUGACACUGCGCCGAAAAUGUACCGGGGCUAAACAUAUUACCGAAGCUGUGGAUUGUCCUUUGGACAAUGGUAGGAGAGCGUUCUAAGGGCGUUGAAGCAUGAUCGUAAGGACAUGUGGAGCGCUUAGAAGUGAGAAUGCCGGUGUGAGUAGCGAAAGACGGGUGAGAAUCCCGUCCACCGAUUGACUAAGGUUUCCAGAGGAAGGCUCGUCCGCUCUGGGUUAGUCGGGUCCUAAGCUGAGGCCGACAGGCGUAGGCGAUGGAUAACAGGUUGAUAUUCCUGUACCACCUAUAAUCGUUUUAAUCGAUGGGGGGACGCAGUAGGAUAGGCGAAGCGUGCGAUUGGAUUGCACGUCUAAGCAGUAAGGCUGAGUAUUAGGCAAAUCCGGUACUCGUUAAGGCUGAGCUGUGAUGGGGAGAAGACAUUGUGUCUUCGAGUCGUUGAUUUCACACUGCCGAGAAAAGCCUCUAGAUAGAAAAUAGGUGCCCGUACCGCAAACCGACACAGGUAGUCAAGAUGAGAAUUCUAAGGUGAGCGAGCGAACUCUCGUUAAGGAACUCGGCAAAAUGACCCCGUAACUUCGGGAGAAGGGGUGCUCUUUAGGGUUAACGCCCAGAAGAGCCGCAGUGAAUAGGCCCAAGCGACUGUUUAUCAAAAACACAGGUCUCUGCUAAACCGUAAGGUGAUGUAUAGGGGCUGACGCCUGCCCGGUGCUGGAAGGUUAAGAGGAGUGGUUAGCUUCUGCGAAGCUACGAAUCGAAGCCCCAGUAAACGGCGGCCGUAACUAUAACGGUCCUAAGGUAGCGAAAUUCCUUGUCGGGUAAGUUCCGACCCGCACGAAAGGCGUAACGAUUUGGGCACUGUCUCAACGAGAGACUCGGUGAAAUCAUAGUACCUGUGAAGAUGCAGGUUACCCGCGACAGGACGGAAAGACCCCGUGGAGCUUUACUGUAGCCUGAUAUUGAAAUUCGGCACAGCUUGUACAGGAUAGGUAGGAGCCUUUGAAACGUGAGCGCUAGCUUACGUGGAGGCGCUGGUGGGAUACUACCCUAGCUGUGUUGGCUUUCUAACCCGCACCACUUA